rnacentral:rRNA from 1 species
CCCUUAGACGUUCUGGGCCGCACGCGCGCUACACUGACGAAGGCAACGAGCUUUCCUUUACCGAAAGGUACGGGUAAUCUUUUGAAACUUCGUCGUGCUGGGGAUAGGUCCUUGCAAUUAUUGAUCUUAAACGAGGAAUUCCUAGUAAGCGCAAGUCAUCAACUUGCGUUGAUUACGUCCCUGCCCUUUGUACACACCGCCCGUCGCUACUACCGAUUGAAUGGUUUAGUGAGGCCUUCGGAUCCGCGACUCGUUUUGUGGAGAAGUUGGACAAACUCAGUCAUUUAGAGGAAGUAAAAGUCGUAACA